rnacentral:tRNA from 1 species
GUCGGGAUAGCUCAUUUGG